CGCUCCGUUGGCCGAGUGGUUAGAGCGUCCGCUUAGAAUGCGGGAGGUCACAGGUUCGAUCCCCGGCUGAGUCA